rnacentral:rRNA from 1 species
AGAACGAACGCUGGCGGCAGGCUUAACACAUGCAAGUCGAACGCGUGUAGCAAUACACGAGUGGCGCACGGGUGAGUAACGCGUGGAUAUCUGCCUUUUGGUUCGGAAUAACCCCGGGAAACUGGGGCUAAUACCGGAUGGUUCCUUCGGGAUAAAGAUUUAUCGCCAAAAGAUGAGUCCGCGUACGAUUAGCUAGUUGGUGAGGUAAUGGCUCACCAAGGCGACGAUCGUUAGCUGGUCUGAGAGGACGAUCAGCCACACUGGGACUGAGACACGGCCCAGACUCCUACGGGAGGCAGCAGUGGGGAAUAUUGGACAAUGGGGGCAACCCUGAUCCAGCCAUGCCGCGUGAGUGAUGAAGGCCUUCGGGUUGUAAAGCUCUUUUGGCGGGGACGAUGAUGACGGUACCCGCAGAAUAAGCCCGGCUAACCUUCGUGCCAGCAGCCGC